GAUGAACGCUAGCGGCAGGCCUAAUACAUGCAAGUCGGGCGGGAUUCCGGAGCUUGCUUCUGAUGAGAGUGGCGCACGGGUGCGUAACACGUAUGUAACCUACCUUUAUCAGGGGGAUAGCCUCUCGAAAGAGAGAUUAAGCCCGCAUAAAAUCACAGCACAGCAUUGUGUAAUGAUCAAAUAUUUAUAGGAUAAAGAUGGGCAUGCGGAACAUUAGCUAGAUGGCGGGGUAACGGCCCACCAUGGCGACGAUGUUUAGGGGAUCUGAGAGGAUGGCCCCCCACACUGGUACUGAGACACGGACCAGACUCCUACGGGAGGCAGCAGUAAGGAACAUUGGUCAAUGGGCGGAAGCCUGAACCAGCCAUGCCGCGUGCAGGAAGACGGCCCUACGGGUUGUAAACUGCUUUUAUACGGGAAUAAACCCAGAUACGUGUAUCUGGCUGAAUGUACUGUAAGAAUAAGGAUCGGCUAACUCCGUG
rnacentral:rRNA from 1 species